CCUACGGGCGGCAGCAGUGGGGAAUAUUGGACAAUGGGGGGAACCCUGAUCCAGCCAUGCCGCGUGUGUGAAGAAGGCCCUCGGGUUGUAAAGCACUUUCAGUGAGGAAGAACGCCUGGUGGUUAAUACCCAUCAGGAAAGACAUCACUCACAGAAGAAGCACCGGCUAACUCCGUGCCAGCAGCCGCGGUAAUACGGAGGGUGCGAGCGUUAAUCGGAAUUACUGGGCGUAAAGCGCGCGUAGGUGGCUUGAUAAGCCGGUUGUGAAAGCCCCGGGCUCAACCUGGGAACGGCAUCCGGAACUGUCAAGCUAGAGUGCAGGAGAGGAAGGUAGAAUUCCCGGUGUAGCGGUGAAAUGCGUAGAGAUCGGGAGGAAUACCAGUGGCGAAGGCGGCCUUCUGGACUGACACUGACACUGAGGUGCGAAAGCGUGGGUAGCAAACAGGAUUGGAUACCCGGGUAGUC
rnacentral:rRNA from 1 species